rnacentral:rRNA from 1 species
ACUCCUACGGGAGGCAGCAGUGGGGAAUAUUGCACAAUGGGCGCAAGCCUGAUGCAGCCAUGCCGCGUGUAUGAAGAAGGCCUUCGGGUUGUAAAGUACUUUCAGCGAGGAGGAAGGCAUUAAGGUUAAUAACCUUGGUGAUUGACGUUACUCGCAGAAGAAGCACCGGCUAACUCCGUGCCAGCAGCCGCGGUAAU